rnacentral:rRNA from 1 species
AUUGAACGCUGGCGGCAUGCUUUACACAUGCAAGUCGAACGGCAGCGCGGGCUUCGGCCUGGCGGCGAGUGGCGAACGGGUGAGUAAUGCAUCGGAACGUGCCCAGUAGUGGGGGAUAGCCCGGCGAAAGCCGGAUUAAUACCGCAUACGACCUGAGGGUGCAAGCGGGGGAUCGUCAGGCCUCGCGCUAUUGUAGCGGCCGAUGUCGGAUUAGCUAGUUGGUGGGGUAAAGGCUUACCAAGGCGACGAUCCGUAGCUGGUCUGAGAGGACGACCAGCCACACUGGGACUGAGACACGGCCCAGACUCCUACGGGAGGCAGCAGUGGGGAAUUUUGGACAAUGGGGGCAACCCUGAUCCAGCCAUGCCGCGUGCGUGAAGAAGGCCUUCGGAUUGUAAACCGCUUUUGUUCGGGAAGAAAUCCUCUGGGCUAAUACCCCGGGGGGAUGACGGUACCGGAAGAAUAAGCACCGGCUAACUACGUG